rnacentral:rRNA from 1 species
UAUAGAGACUCAGAGCUGCAUAUCAAUAAGCGGAGGAAAAGAAACUAACAAGGAUUCCCUUAGUAACGGCGAGUGAAGCGGGAAGAGCUCAAAUUUGAAAUCUUCAAGGUUCUACCUUGACGAAUUGUAGUUUAUAGAAGUGUUUUCUGUUAGUGGAGUGGCAAAAGUUCUUUGGAAUAGGACAUCAUAGAGGGUGAGAAUCCCGUAUUUGGUCAUUCCUCAUAGCGUUGUGACACACUUUCAACGAGUCGGAUUGUUUGGGAAUGCAGUCCAAAAUGGGUGGUAAAUUUCAUCUAAAGCUAAAUAUUGGCGAGAGACCGAUAGCGAACAAGUACCGUGAGGGAAAGAUGAAAAGAACUUUGAAAAGAGAGUUAAACAGUACGUGAAAUUGUCAAAAGGGAAGCGUUUGACACCAGUGUUGUUUUUCCGAAAAUCAAUUACGAAUGUUUUAUUUUUGAGGAGUUAUGACUUCAUCGGCUUGCUCCUUUCUUUAUGAAACUUUCUUAAUGCACUUUUCGGUUAACAAGUCAACAUCAAUUUCUUUUGUUGUAAAAGGGUAUGAGGAAGGUGGCUUUCUUUUCGGAGAAAGUGUUUAUAGCCUUGUAGCCUCUGCAAUCGGAGAGAUUGAGGUCUGCAGCGUAGAUCCUUCGGGGUUAGAUACAUUUGUGCUAAGUUAUAGCUUUUCAUAGACAACUUGUUGACUAUGUUUAGUCUUGUAGCUUACUCGCUUAUGCUAUUUUACCUACGCUUAGGAUGUUGACGAGACUGUCGAUCUC